GCCAGGUGUGGUGUCUCACACCUGUAAUCCCAGCUACUUGGGAGGCUUAGGCAGGAGGACUGCUUGAGCUCAGGACAUUGAGGCUGCAGUGCACUAUGAUCGUGUCUGUCAAUAGCCACUGUACUCCAGCCUGGGCAACAUAGCAAGACUCCAUCUCUA
rnacentral:SRP_RNA from 1 species